rnacentral:tRNA from 2 species
UAAGGUUUUAAGUUAAAAAAACUAGCAGCCUUCAAAGUUUCAAAUAAGAGUCUUAAUCUCUUAAACCUUAA